rnacentral:rRNA from 1 species
GAUGAACGCUGGCGGCGUGCCUAAUACAUGCAAGUCGAGCGAACAGACGAGGAGCUUGCUCCUCUGACGUUAGCGGCGGACGGGUGAGUAACACGUGGAUAACCUACCUAUAAGACUGGGAUAACUUCGGGAAACCGGAGCUAAUACCGGAUAAUAUAUUGAACCGCAUGGUUCAAUAGUGAAAGACGGUUUUGCUGUCACUUAUAGAUGGAUCCGCGCCGCAUUAGCUAGUUGGUAAGGUAACGGCUUACCAAGGCAACGAUGCGUAGCCGACCUGAGAGGGUGAUCGGCCACACUGGAACUGAGACACGGUCCAGACUCCUACGGGAGGCAGCAGUAGGGAAUCUUCCGCAAUGGGCGAAAGCCUGACGGAGCAACGCCGCGUGAGUGAUGAAGGUCUUCGGAUCGUAAAACGCUGUUAUUAGGGAAGAACAAAUGUGUAAGUAACUAUGCACGUCUUGACGGUACCUAAUCAGAAAGCCACGGCUAACUAGGUG